GGCCAAGACCUGGUGACUGUUCUCUGAAAUGCCCUUCAGUUUUACUGGAAGGAGAAACUACAAAUAACAGUCAUGGGAACCUAACAGUUUCCAGAAGCCAGACUGACAAAGAAAAGCAUAAAGGACAAGCAACAGCAUGAUGCCUAAAGUAACUGGCUUGUUGCUUUACCACCCUGGGCCUGUAACCUUUAGGUUUAAAUAGAGUAGGCGUUUCAUUGUAUGGCAUUUUACUUGGUACGAAACAAGAAUUGGAGGCACUUGUUAAAGUAUUUACUGAAGGUGGAUGUGCCUUGAUAAUACCUAAAUAAUAUCAUUUUGUAGAUAUCCUUUCUUUGCUCUGACCAAAGCAUUUCAUCAUUUAUUUGGAGCAAAACUAAACAAGACACCAACAACAAAAAAUAAUUUCUUACACAAUUCACAUAUUCUGGGUUGAGCAUUUAAAGUGUCUAAAUUCUAUUUAUUCUUUAUGACUCUUUCCUUCACAUUAUUGCAAACUUAAUAGGCAUUUUUUUUAAUGAAAAUCAUGAGUGAUUCUUUUAAAAAUACCAAAAGCAAAUAUUACUAGUUGAAUUUUAAGUUAUUUUAUUUUCCUGCAGUUAUAAAAAAUAACCCUAUCAUCUUUUUAAGACUCAGCUUGUCUCUGUUCCUUAAUUUUUUAAUUGUUUCAAGUCAGCUGUUCAUGAGAGUAAAAAUAAGGAAGGUUCAAAAGAAUGAGGAAGCCAAACUAAGUCACUUUUAUUCUGGAGAAACGUAUAGUUAAUAGAAAUUAAAGAAAUUUCAUCAUUUCUGGAGGAAGCCCUGUAUAUGAGAACUGUGAUACAUGCAAAUUAUUUCCAUAGUGUUCUUAACAUUCAUAAUUUAAAGGUAAUUACAACUCUUUUAUAUUAUUAUAGUUAACAGCAUAUUUUGUAGUAUCAUUAUCCAGUUAAAAUCAUAUUCUGAGAAUUUAUUUCAGAUAAGUGAUAUUUUAUAGGUUUUAGUUAUUAUGUGUUGUGGCAUAAAUGCAUUCUUUGGGUAGUUAGCUGACUAACUUUAUUAAUAAUCUAUAUUUUCUAGUGAAUAAUAUUUUGAUUUAAUAUUAUGGGAUGAAGACAAAUUUUUUUCUUUUUUAAAAAUAUAAUUGUUAGGCCAAUUUCUUCACAAAAUUAAGCUUCCUGUAUUAUUAUUCUAUUCUGCAUGCCUUUAAUUAUAUGAAUAUAUUACUUGAAUUAAUCCUCAUUUAUGAUAUUUAUAAAGGCAAAAAUGGUUUCUUCAACAUUAAUGUACUCAUAAAAUGUUAUUUGGUUUUGGACUAGCAGAAAACCCCAUCUGUAGUCGACAUUUAGGCAAUGCCUAAGUUCAAAAUUUUCCAAAUUUGAUAUGGAUAUCAUUUUUAGAGAUUUUUAUGGCACUGGAAUUUUGUAGAACACUGUUUAAGAGACAUUGCCUUGAAGAAAGAUCUUUGUCUUCAUAGGCAAACUACAAUUCUGCAAGCAUUAUUUAUAAAACUUUGCAUAUACCUGAAAAGUAAUUAAAUUUAGAUUUGAGUUUUA
rnacentral:lncRNA from 1 species